rnacentral:rRNA from 1 species
UUUGCAUAUUCAAAUAGCGGAGGAAAAGAAACCAACAGGGAUUGCCUUAGUAACGGCGAGUGAAGCGGCAAAAGCUCAAAUUUGAAAUCUGGCACUUUCAGUGUCCGAGUUGUAAUUUGAAGAAGGUAACUUUGGAGUUGGCCCUUGUCUAUGUUCCUUGGAACAGGACGUCACAGAGGGUGAGAAUCCCGUGCGAUGAGGUGUCCAAUUCUAUGUAAAGUGCUUUCGAAGAGUCGAGUUGUUUGGGAAUGCAGCUCUAAGUGGGUGGUAAAUUCCAUCUAAAGCUAAAUAUUGGCGAGAGACCGAUAGCGAACAAGUACAGUGAUGGAAAGAUGAAAAGAACUUUGAAAAGAGAGUGAAAAAGUACGUGAAAUUGUUGAAAGGGAAGGGCUUGAGAUCAGACUCGGUAUUUUGCAAGCCUAUCCUUCGUGGAGAGGUUUAUUAGCAGCUUACCGGGCCAGCAUCGGUUUGGAUGGUAGGAUAAUGGCAUUGGAAUGUGGCUCCUCGGAGUGUUAUAGCCUUUGUUGAUACUGCCUAUCUAGACCGAGGACUGCGUCUUUGACUAGGAUGCUGGCGUAAUGAUCUUAAGCCGCCCGUCUUAACCACCGGAC